rnacentral:ncRNA from 1 species
AAAAAGCAUUUUUCUUUAGGUUUUUAUUUAUUUUUAAAUUUAAUGUAAAUUUUUGUGUUAAUUAAAGUUUUAUUUAAAUAGUUUAAUGUUUUGUUAUUUUGCAGUAAUUAAUUUUAUUUAUUUAGUAAACUAAGAAAAAGAUAAUAAUAGUUAGUACAAACUAAAUUUGUGCCAGCAGUCGCGGUUAUACAAAUUGUGCAAUAAAAAUUGUUUAAGUGGGGUUAUUAAAUAUUUGAAAAUUAUAAUUUAAAAUUAAAAAAUAUAUUUUAAGGUGAAAUUUUAAUGUGUUAAUUAUUUUAGUUUAAUUUUAAUAUGAGGCCUGAAAACUUUAAAUUAAAACUAGGAUUAGAUACCCUAUUAUGAAAGUGUAAAGUUAAAUCUUAGAUUAGUAGCAGAAAAUUUUAUUUAUUUUAUUAAAUUUUAUUAAAUUAUCUUGAAAAUUAGAAAAAUUGGCGGUAUUUUAGUCUAUUCAGAGGAACCUGCCCUGUAAUUGAUAGUCCACGAUUUUAAGUACUUUUUUUUUUAGUUUGCAUAUCGCUGUUAUUUGAAUAUUUUUAUUGAAUUUUAAUGUUCAAGAUUUUUCAUUAAAUUAGUUCAGGUCAAGAUGUAAUUUAUAAAAAAGAAGAGGUGGGUUACAAUAAAAAAAUUUAUGGAAAAUUUCUUUAAAAGGAAUUUGAAACUGGAUUUGAAAGUAACUUUAUAGUUAAUAUAAUUUGAUUAUAGCUCUAAAAUAUGUACAUAUCGCCCGUCGCUUUCAUUAUAAAGUGAAAUAAGUCGUAACAUAGUAGAUGUACUGGAAAGUGUUUCUAGAAGAAU